rnacentral:rRNA from 1 species
UGAGUAAUGCCUAGGAAAUUGCCCUGAUGUGGGGGAUAACCAUUGGAAACGAUGGCUAAUACCGCAUGAUGCCUACGGGCCAAAGAGGGGGACCUUCGGGCCUCUCGCGUCAGGAUAUGCCUAGGUGGGAUUAGCUAGUUGGUGAGGUAAGGGCUCACCAAGGCGACGAUCCCUAGCUGGUCUGAGAGGAUGAUCAGCCACACUGGAACUGAGACACGGUCCAGACUCCUACGGGAGGCAGCAGUGGGGAAUAUUGCACAAUGGGCGCAAGCCUGAUGCAGCCAUGCCGCGUGUGUGAAGAAGGCCUUCGGGUUGUAAAGCACUUUCAGUCGUGAGGAAGGUAGUGUAGUUAAUAGCUGCAUUAUUUGACGUUAGCGACAGAAGAAGCACCGGCUAACUCCGUGCCAGCAGCCGCGGUAAUACGGAGGGUGCGAGCGUUAAUCGGAAUUACUGGGCGUAAAGCGCAUGCAGGUGGUUUGUUAAGUCAGAUGUGAAAGCCCGGGGCUCAACCUCGGAAUUGCAUUUGAAACUGGCAGACUAGAGUACUGUAGAGGGGGGUAGAAUUUCAGGUGUAGCGGUGAAAUGCGUAGAGAUCUGAAGGAAUACCGGUGGCGAAGGCGGCCCCCUGGACAGAUACUGACACUCAGAUGCGAAAGCGUGGGGAGCAAACAGGAUUAGAUACCCUGGUAGUCCACGCCGUAAACGAUGUCUACUUGGAGGUUGUGGCCUUGAGCCGUGGCUUUCGGAGCUAACGCGUUAAGUAGACCGCCUGGGGAGUACGGUCGCAAGAUUAAAACUCAAAUGAAUUGACGGGGGCCCGCACAAGCGGUGGAGCAUGUGGUUUAAUUCGAUGCAACGCGAAGAACCUUACCUACUCUUGACAUCCAGAGAACUUUCCAGAGAUGGAUUGGUGCCUUCGGGAACUCUGAGACAGGUGCUGCAUGGCUGUCGUCAGCUCGUGUUGUGAAAUGUUGGGUUAAGUCCCGCAACGAGCGCAACCCUUAUCCUUGUUUGCCAGCGAGUAAUGUCGGGAACUCCAGGGAGACUGCCGGUGAUAAACCGGAGGAAGGUGGGGACGACGUCAAGUCAUCAUGGCCCUUACGAGUAGGGCUACACACGUGCUACAAUGGCGCAUACAGAGGGCGGCCAACUUGCGAAAGUGAGCGAAUCCCAAAAAGUGCGUCGUAGUCCGGAUUGGAGUCUGCAACUCGACUCCAUGAAGUCGGAAUCGCUAGUAAUCGUGGAUCAGAAUGCCACGGUGAAUACGUUCCCGGGCCUUGUACACACCGCCCGUCACACCAUGGGAGUGGGCUGCAAAAGAAGUAGGUAGUUUAACCUUCGGGGGGACGCUUACCACUUUGUGGUUCAUGACUGGGGUGAAGUCGUAACAAGGUAGCGCUAGGGGAACC